rnacentral:rRNA from 1 species
CCUACGGGCGGCAGCAGUAGGGAAUAUUGCUCAAUGGGGGAAACCCUGAAGCAGCAACGCCGCGUGGAGGAUGAAGGUUUUAGGAUUGUAAACUCCUUUUGUCAGAGAAGAUUAUGACGGUAUCUAACGAAUAAGCACCGGCUAACUCCGUGCCAGCAGCCGCGGUAAUACGUAGGGUGCAAGCGUUACUCGGAAUCACUGGGCGUAAAGAGUGCGUAGGCGGGGUAAUAAGUCAGAUGUGAAAUCCUGUGGCUUAACCACCGAACUGCUUUUGAAACUGUUACGCUGGAGUGCGGGAGAGGUAAGUGGAAUUCUUAGUGUAGGGGUGAAAGCCGUAGAGAUCAGGAGGAAUACUAAUUGCGAAGGCGGCCUACUGGAACGUUACUGACGCUGAGGCACGAAAGCGUGGGGAGCAAACAGGAUUAGAUACCCGAGUAGUC